UACGUAGGGGGCAAGCGUUGUCCGGAAUCAUUGGGCGUAAAGCGCGUGUAGGCGGACUGGAAGGUCUGGUGGGAAAGCCCGGGGCUCAACCCCGGAGGGUCACUGGAAACCGACAGUCUUGAGUCCGGAAGAGGAGAGUGGAAUUCCUGGUGUAGCGGUGGAAUGCGCAGAUAUCAGGAGGAACACCUAUGGCGAAGGCAGCUCUCUGGUACGUGACUGACGCUGAGACGCGAAAGCGUGGGGAGCGAACAGG
rnacentral:rRNA from 1 species